UUGGCUAGAAGCACAGAUUUUGGACUACUAUUCUCCGAUUAGUCUCUUAUUAGUGGGCUAAAAUCUUUAUUUAGUGUACAUUAAGAGUUGAUACUUAUUUUGAUCUGCGGAGGGUGCUAUUGAGGCAAUGUUAGUACAGGUUCAUCAUUGAUCAACCCGGACCAACAUUGAUCCUGGGCCGUCAUUACCAUGUUGACCCAGGAGCAACAUUUUCUCAUUGACCCUGAGCUAACGUUACCAUGUUGACCCAGGAGCAACAUUUUCUUGUUGAGCCUGGGCUAACGUUACCAUGUUGACCCAGGAGCAACAUUUUCUUGUUGAGCCUGGGCUAAUGUUACCAUGUUGACCCAGGAGCAACAUUUUCCUAACAUUGCACAAUUACUGUUCUUUUCAGGGACGCAAAAAAAGAGUGUGCCUGCUAUCGUAAAAGCUUUACCCAAAAAGAAAAAAGCAAGGACAACAAUAUUCAGCGCCCUGUCAGAGCAGGAAGCAAAGGAGCUGGCCAAUGGUUUUGCCACUAGACUGGCAUUGGAUGUUACUGCUGACACAGUCUGUGACGGAGUGGAUGCUGCAUGUGCUGAUGAAGACACUUCAGAAAUUACAAAGCAACCUGAAAGCAGCCUUGACGGAAUCAUCAAUUUGGAUCUCCAGCUUUGGAUGCUACUAUGUCUUUUCUUAUUGACAAGCUGGACAGGGUUGGCAAAUGAAAGGCACUAGUUGUCCUUUUAGUUGUGUUUUUUGUUGUAAAGCCACAUUGUUUUUUGUCUUAAAACCCCCAGUUGUGUUUCAGUCUAAUUAAAUGUCAUAUAAUUAGAUGUAA